UUUGGGUGGCAGGGGUCAAGAGGCUGGGUGACUGAGGGACUGCUGGGGUUUGGGAGCUACAGGGGAGUGGGAGGGCAUACAAACCAGGGAUAAUUGGGCAUGAGAUACGUUUGGGCAAGGAAAUCCAGGAUUUCCCAAGGCAGUGGGAGGAAAAGAGCCCCCUGCAUCCUUAGGAGGUUCCCUGGCCUCUGGUGUGUCCUUCUCACAUUCCUAACUCAACAGCGAAUAACUCUUCGGAUUCAUUCCUCCACAUCGCAGGUUCCCAUCUCUCCACCCGCAUUCCGUUAUGGCACCUUUCUGCCUGGAGUCUGAGCACCUUCUGUACCCACAAGGACGGAGGUGUUCAUCCAUCCCUCCCCACCUUCCAGUCAGCAGGGGUGGAGACCAGCACAAAGCUACCCUAAAGGACUAGAGAAUUGGGCCCAUAAUCUUUCCGCCACAGCACACCCUCAGCCUUCCCUGCACCUUCUCUGGGUCUGCAAUCGUUGCCUGGAUGUGGGCGAUGAACGUCCGCAGAGCUUGCUUAGCUUCUGCGAAACAGGACACACACGAUGAAGAGACAAGGUGUCCGUGGAGACCUCUUCUGCUUUUGUCACGACAGAAUUUCAUGCUGAGUGCACCUGCAACGUGGACAAAAUGCUCUGCAGGCUG